rnacentral:rRNA from 1 species
GACGAACGCUGGCGGCGUGCUUAACACAUGCAAGUCGAACGGAAAGGCCCUGCUUUUGUGGGGUGCUCGAGUGGCGAACGGGUGAGUAACACGUGAGUAACCUGCCCUUGACUUUGGGAUAACUUCAGGAAACUGGGGCUAAUACCGGAUAGGAGCUCCUGCUGCAUGGUGGGGGUUGGAAAGUUUCGGCGGUUGGGGAUGGACUCGCGGCUUAUCAGCUUGUUGGUGGGGUAGUGGCUUACCAAGGGUUUGACGGGUAGCCGGCCUGAGAGGGUUACCGGGGACAUUGGGACUGAGAGAGGGACCAGACUGCUACGGGAGGCAGCAGUGGAGAAUAUUGCACAAUGGGCGGAAGCCUGAGGCAGCAGCGCCGCGUGCGGGAUGACGGCCUUCGGGUUGUAAACCGCUUUCGCCGGUGACGAAGCGUGAGUGACGGUAAUGGGUAAAGAAGCACCGGCUAACUACGUG